rnacentral:lncRNA from 1 species
UAAGUACGAAAAAGUUGAGGGCACAGGAUUUUGGAACCAGUUCCUCAGUUCUCUAUUCUAGCCCUUUACCCUGUUUCCAGAUCAGUGGAAUGAUCUCCUUGAAGAUGAUGUAGUUUAAUGGGGGCAAAAGGGUGUUGGUCAUGUAGGAAUCCACUAGCUUGAUGUUUUCUACACAGAUUUCUCUUGCCUGUCUCUGGAAUUGUUGCAAACUGUUCUGCAUGAAUGAAUUUUUCUGAAGAAUUCUGGGAGAAGCAGGUUGUUGCUGUAGGGAGGGCAUUUGAAGGAGACUUUCCCUUGCUUGUGUUUUGUCUUUGUGGCAAGCUGUUUGAAACAUCUAUGGCUAAACAGCACUUGUCACCCAGUUGUGAAGAAGAGUGAUUUCUCUAAGGCAUUUAAUUUUUUAGACCGCCAAAAGUUUUGCUGGUUUCUUUUUUCCUCAACAUUUAGGUAAUGUGCCUUCGUCAUUCAUAUCUGUGAAGAUGUUACUUGCCACCAUGUGUGUGUCAUGUAAGGUUUUCAUGGCUCUAUGAGAAAUAUAGUUGCCUUUCCAAAUGUAAUUGCAUUGGAAAAAUAUGCAGAGCCACCAGGCCACAAUUUCUUACAGGUGGAUUUUGUUGAGCAGGGAAUAAAAGGCCAGGAGACAGUGCUGAAAAUCAAGAUAGUAUUUGUAUUCUUAAACUUAUAACCACUGGCCUUUUGAGCAAAGUAGCCUCUAAUAUAUCUUGCUUUCUCUUGAUUACUUCUGGUUCUAUGAGGAAUGGCCUCUGCAGAGUACUAUCUAAAAUGAUCCACUUUCUUUUCCUUCUCUUUUUAAACAGUUUUAGUCCUUUCCUAUUUUUUAAAAUGUUGGAAUAUGUUAUAUAUAUUUGUUGUUGUUGUUGCAAAAUAGCUGGCUCUAACAUCACUUGCAUCUAGAAGAAAAUGUAUCUAUUUGCAGGCAAAUAACUAGUUUUACUUUCACUGUGAUAUACUCCCAGCAGAUAUCUGAGAGUGAGUUAUGACUACAUCUUCUCUUGUCAGGUUGUAUGCUGGUCAACAAUGCUGGCACUUUGCUUCGGAUCAAUAUAGAACUCCCUAGUAAUAUUUUACCAUACAUCACAUUUUGUGUUCCUGUUACUAUUAAAAUCAAACACAAAAACAAAACUGUGGCAGGAGUCAAUAAACACUGGGUCAUGUUAAA